rnacentral:rRNA from 1 species
GUAUAGCAAUAGCUAGUUAUAUUAAUUAGUAAUUAAUAUGACGAUCGACUAUGUCGAGUAAAAUUCUAGGUGGAAUAAUGAUGAUGACAUUAUCUACCUUAGUCUUGACCAAAUUUCGUGCCAGCAGUCGCGGUAAUACGUAGAAGACGAGUGUUAUUCAUGUUUAAUUGGUUUAAAGGGUACUUAGACGGUAAAUUAAGCCUAUAGAUGGGUACUAAUUUACUAGAGUUUAUAUGUAAGGGAGUAUUAAAGUACUAGUGAGUGGAGAGAUGAAAUUCUGUUAUACCAAUGAAGGCACAGAUUAAGGCGAAGGCGUCUCCUUAUGUAACAACUGACGUUGAAGGACGAAGGCUAUGUACAGCAAAAGGGAUUAGGUACCCCAGUAACGAUAGGCAGAAAAUGAUGAAUGUCAUAGUUCAGAUGAACUUUAACUUUUACUAAAUUUUUUUUAUUUUAGUUGGGUCAAUUCUGAUACAUAAAUGAAAGUGUAAGCAUUCCACCUCAAGAGUAAUUUGGCAACAUUGGAACUGAAAUCAUUAGACCGUUUCUGAAACCAGUAGUGAAGUAUGUUGUUUAAUUUGAUGAUCCACAAAGAACCUUACCACAACUUGAAUAUUUAUAUAUUAAUACAAGCGUUGCACGGCUGUCUUCAGUUUAUGUCGUGAGAUUUUGGUUAGUUCCAUUAAAUAAACGUAAACCCUUACUUUAUUUAUAAAUAAAGUAGUUCACCAUUAUAUUGGAUGUGAUAAAAGGGAUCAAGACAAGUCAUCAU